GAUGAACGCUGGCGGCGUGCCUAACACAUGCAAGUCGAGCGAACAGACGAGAGUGCUUGCCCUUUCUGGCGUUAGCGGCGCGCGGGGGAGUGACACGUGUGGAACCUUCCUAUAAGACGGGGAUUACCGCGGGAAAACGGACCUAAUAACGGCAAACAUCCAGCUUCUCAUGACGCAAUAGUGAAAGACGUUUCGGCUGUCACUGAGAGAUUGACCCGUGUUGUAUUAGCUAGUUGGAGGGGUAACGGCGCACCAAGGCAACGAUCCAUAGCAGACCUGAGAGGGUGAUCGGCCACACUGGAACUGAGACACGGCCCAGACUCCUACGGGAGGCAGCAGUAGGGAAUCUUCCGCAAUGGGCGAAAGUCUGACGCAGCAAUGCCGCGUGAGUGAAGAAGGUCUUCGGAUCGUAAAACUCUGUUGUAAGGGAAGAACAGGUACGUUAGUAACUGAACGUAUCUUGACGGUACCUUACCAAAAAGCCCCGGCUAACUACGUG
rnacentral:rRNA from 1 species